AAGAUAUUUCAGUCUCCUAUCAAACAGAUAAAAAAUUUUAAAAAUCUUAUAAACAUAAACAUUAUAUAUUCUAUCAAAUUAACAUUUCGAAGCAAGAAGAAAAUAAUCCAGUGACACAAUCUGUCACGUAUUGUGCUUUGGGUGGAGGACCGUUCGUGCAUAAAAUUACACAUAACAUAUAAUAGAGCAGUGAUGGCAGACGGUAUUGGCAGUGGUAGAUAAGGCUGGGAUUGUCCAUGGUUGGCAUCGAGUUAACCACUUGGUGCUUGGCCGUUGACUGGAGAAGAUGGAGAUGGUCCUCCGUCCUUUGAUUUUGAUUUUCUACCACUCCUGCCAGGCUUAUUGGGUACCACAAUGGCAAAGGGCACAGAGAAUGCGAAUCAAACAUUAUUUAACUAACAACCGACGACCAGGAAAAGAUAUUUCUUUCUGAUACUUGCAGAACAAACAUCGGGCAAAGGACAAUAAAAUCCAUAUAUAUAUAUAUGGUUUUUUGAAUUUAUAUUUUUUAAAGCUUGAACUUUCACUGUUUUUUGAUUUUAUGCAGACUGGGCUCGUAACAUUACGCUGGCCUUUCUCUAGUUAGGAAUAUAAAAGUAUGAGAUAACUUUUUUUUUUUUUGAAAGUGAAAUUGCAUUUCAUUAGAAUGCGAAGGGAAGAAAUUGGUUUCCCUCAGCCCAAAUACAAAAGACAACCCUCAUACAAAAGUAUGAAAUAAAUGAUAGUUUACAAUGUAAAUCAGAGACGUGUUCAAACACAUAUAUGCGAAUUUAAACACAUAAUUUUGAUAAAAAUGGAUUAAUUUUUGGACAAAAUAAAUUGUAAAUACUAUACAUGUAUUACGGAUUCCAGAUAAGUAAAGAUGGGUGGACAAAAGCAAUUUUUAUCAUAACUCUACUCUAUAUAAAAGGAAUAUCCAAUAAAGCAUGUGACAUCUGGUCGGCUGCGGAAGGGAGAGAGAAAGAGAAAGAGAGAGGGAGGGCAAGUGAUCCAGGAACCAGAAGAAGUGUCAAGAGUGUAUGAUUCAAAGGCUCUGCAAGGCCACGUUACAAUCCGGAUAUAACAGGGACAAACAAAGAACUGCUAGACACCCAUUCCAGAAAUUUCUCCUUUCACCUCCUUCUGUACUUUUGCUUCUUCUUUUUUUUUUUUUUUCCUUUGUUUUCUUUUUCUCUUUUGUCCAUCUCUCUCCUCUCUUUUCUCUUUUUGAUAUCAUGAGCAGCAAAGGUGGGGCAGUGGUGGACGUGGAGGCAAUGGGUCAAGGGUCAGGGAUAAGGGGUUUCCAUCUCUUUACAUAAUCUUCUUCUUUUGCUUUUUCAAUUUUCAUUUUUUCUCUUCAACACUGGCAGCAUUGUGAUAGACCAACAAAACCCAACUCUCUCUCACGAAUGCCAGUUUCAGUAUUUCCCCAGGUUUUGCUUUUAAAGAAAUGUGAUUGAUAAGUUAUUUUGGGUUUGGGUUUGGACUUCAAUUUAGCAGGUGGACUUGAUGAUGUU